AGUGAACGCUGGCGGUAGGCCUAACACAUGCAAGUCGAACGGCAGCACAGUAAUAGCUUGCUCUCACGGGUGUCGAGCGGCGGACGGGUGAGGAAUACAUCGGACUCCUCUUUUUCGCUGGGGCUAAUGUCGGGUAACUUACGCUAAUACCGCAUACGACCUCCGUGUGACAGCAGGGGAUCUUCGGACCUUUCGCGAAUGUAUGAGCCGAUCUCGGAUUAGAUCGUUGGCUGGGUAAAGGCCCACCACAGCGACGAUCCGUAGCUGGUCUGAGAGGAUGUUCAGCCAGACUGGAACUGAGGCAGGGUCCAGACUCUUACGGGAGGCAGCAGUGGGGAAUAUUAGACGAGGGGGGAGAGCCGGAUCCAGCGAUACCGCGGGAAUGAUGAAGGCCUUCGGGUGGUAGAGCCAUGUUGUUGGGAAAAAAAAGCAGCAGGUUAAUCCCGGGCUGUUCUGACGGUACCCAAAGAAUAAGCACCGGCUAACUUCGUG
rnacentral:rRNA from 1 species